rnacentral:rRNA from 1 species
GACGAACGCUGGCGGCGUGCUUAACACAUGCAAGUCGAACGGAAAGGCCCCCUUGUGGGGUACUCGAGUGGCGAACGGGUGAGUAACACGUGAGUAAUCUACUCUUGUCUUUGGGAUAAUUUCAGGAAACUGGGGCUAAUACUGGAUAGGAGCUCCUGCUGCAUGGUGGGGGUUGGUAAGUUUCGGCGGUUGGGGAUGGACUCGCGGCUUAUCAGCUUGUUGGUGGGGUAGUGGCUCACCAAGGCUUUGACGGGUAGCCGGCCUGAGAGGGUGACCGGCCACAUUGGGACUGAGAUACGGCCCAGACUCCUACGGGAGGCAGCAGUGGGGAAUAUUGCACAAUGGGCGGAAGCCUGAUGCAGCAACGCCGCGUGCGGGAUGACGGCCUUCGGGUUGUAAACCGCUUUCGCCUGUGACGAAGCGUGAGUGACGGUAAUGGGUAAAGAAGCACCGGCUAACUACGUG